GGGGAUUUAGCUCAGUGGCAUAAGCACCUGCCUUGCAAGCAGGCUGUCAUAAGUUUGAUCCCUG
rnacentral:tRNA from 1 species